rnacentral:misc_RNA from 1 species
AACAAAUCGAUUUUUUUUUCAGACAUUUAAUUCGAUUGAGCUCUAUGAGCUAUGGUAUGGAUACCCAUGGGAAUCUUUGCCAUCUAAUUUUUUCUGUGGAGAAUCUUCUUCAACUUGGCAAGCCUUUCAGCCAAGUUAAAGGCAAUAAAUCCAUAGAUGUUUAAGUCACUGUGUCCAUUUCACUUGUGUAGCACCCUCUUCAGAAGUUAAAACAAUUUGAUCUUCAUGAUUCUCAGAACCUGAUAACACUCCCUGAUAUGCCUUCAGCUUUGAACUUAGAAAGGAUAAUUCUUCGUAAUUGUUACCAAUUCACUUCUUGAGAUUCCCUCAUCCAUUCAAUGCCUUCACAAGCUUGUUUAUCUUAGUCUAUCUAAUUGCAAAGAGCUGCAGUAUCAGCAUCAUUGCGACCAAGUAACCUUUUCGUAUUGAACAUUUCCCUGAUUAUUCUGAGAGCCUUUUCAACCUCAUAGCAUUCAUCCUCCUCAUCAGUGCUAUAACUAUUUGACAGGCCUUUUCUUGGGGUGGAAGAAGUCUUGCAUUGAUGCUUGUGACGAAUUUUGGUUCAGUAAUGGCUUCUUCAGCUGACGUUUUGAGGAUGCCGUCGGUUUUUCUUGCAUGAUUUUAGGUUGUGUGGUUCUUGUGAUUGCCUGUUCUGUUGCUUGUUUUGCUUUGCAGGUCCUUUAUUUCUUCUUCCAUUGGCAACAGGUGAGUGCAAGGCUUUUGGAUUUGGCCUCUGUUGUCACUGAUAGGUUUCCUUGCAGCAGUCUUGCUAAAGUAUACUUUAGAAUGCAAUUGGCAAGUUAAAGAAAUAGAUUUCCUCUCUUCAGGGCCACUAUUGAUCUCUUUCUUUAGAACUGGAACUGCUCCCUCAUCAGAUAGCAAGAAGAAGUAUCUCUUGAUUCCUUAAGUUUUUGGUUUUUGGCCACUUAAUCAGUCGUUAACUUAGACUUUUUCGAUCCUUUAACAAGAUGAGAGCACUUAAAUUCCAAGUUUUGCCCCAAAUUCUUGCAUUCUUGAACUACUCUUCUUGCAAUAACCGGCAGAGAAGGGCCAAAAAAGGACCCAUAAUUCUUAGCAAAAGGAAUACCUUCAUAAUUUUCUCCUGGGAUAUGGAUAAAGCAGACCCACUUGCCUCUUGCAUCUUCUUUCUGUAGAUUUCUUCAAGCCUCUGCCUUAAUCCCAAAUAUACAAGCUCGUCCGUAACUGCCAUGACUGACUGCAAUCUCAAACCAAGAAAACAAAAUUUAAGUGCCAGAGAGAGAAGAGAGAAGGCAAGAGCGAGCUAACCAAAGAACGUUUUCAUGGGGCAUUAAUUAUUUUUCCUUCUCCUUACUUGAUUUGGAUAACUAUUAAUAGUUUCCCAGUACUAAGUGGAUUUAUUGUGCAAUAACCAUCGCAGCAUGUCAAAUUUAAUAGGCGGAGGCGUAACCACGUCAUCACUAACCAUAAGAUGCCACACGUAAUUAGAAACCCUAGAUUGCCACGUCAUCAACCUAACGAUAAACUGAUAACGGGAAUGAGAGGCUACUUUCAUUUGCGUUUGCGAGGGAGAGAGAGAGAGAGAG